CUAUAUAUCAUAAUCAGUUAGGUCGUCAGUUGCGUAAAGAUAAAAGAUACACAUAUAUACAACAUGUGGAAAAGUGAUUGAACUUAGCUCCACCGGAAAAACUUCAACUUACGAACGCUCUCUGUAACGCUCCCCCCUCCCAACGGUCAAGAAAUUUCCAGAUCCAGCCUUAGCUGGCGAAUUCCCGGCGCCAACGACCACCUCCUCUAACAGGUUAGGACUUGUGGCUGUUAGCGGCGAACAGGAUGUGUGUGUGCAAACAUUAACGAACAAUCCGAGCGCGUGACAGCAAGGGGCGGCAGGAGUUGGACGCGAACGCGCUAGGUGGCAAUAUCAUCGUCGUAUAUAACAAGACAAUCCCCAGGUUCUACUCGUAGGAGUUGGUACCUCCCAUUUUCCUAUUUUCUGUUGUUGUGUUAGUUAAAUUAGUGCCAUCUUAGUUUGUAUUAGUAUAUUCAACGUAUUAGUGUGCCUACAGUUGCAACUUAUCUUCUUC